AUAAUUGUCAGCUAAGUGGCGCACGGGUGAGUAAUGUAUAGAUAACCUGCCCUUAAGAAAGGAAUAACAGUUGGAAACGACUGCUAAUGCCCUAUAUGCCUUUAAUACAUAAGUAUGCAAGGGAAACGCUUUAAUGCUUAAGGAUGGGUCUGUAUGGUAUCAGCUUGUUGGUGAGGUAAUGGCUCACCAAGGCUAUGACGCCUAACUGGUUUGAGAGGAUGAUCAGUCACACUGGAACUGAGACACGGUCCAGACUCCUACGGGAGGCAGCAGUGGGGAAUAUUGCACAAUGGACGAAAGUCUGAUGCAGCAACGCCGCGUGGAGGAUGACACAUUUCGGUGCGUAAACUCCUUUUAUAUAGGAAGAUAAUGACGGUACUAUAUGAAUAAGCACCGGCUAACUCCGUGCCAGCAGCCGCGGUAAUACGGAGGGUGCAAGCGUUACUCGGAAUCACUGGGCGUAAAGAGCGUGUAGGCGGGUAUAUAAGUCAGAAGUGAAAUCCAAUAGCUCAACUAUUGAACUGCUUUUGAAACUGUAUACCUAGAAUGUGGGAGAGGUAGAUGGAAUUUCUGGUGUAGGGGUAAAAUCCGUAGAGAUCAGAAGGAAUACCGAUUGCGAAGGCGAUCUACUGGAACAUUAUUGACGCUGAGACGCGAAAGCGUGGGGAGCAAACAGGAUUAGAUACCCUGGUAGUCCACGCCCUAAACGAUGUACACUAGUUGUUGUGAGGCUCGACCUUGCAGUAAUGCAGUUAACACAUUAAGUGUACCGCCUGGGGAGUACGGUCGCAAGAUUAAAA
rnacentral:rRNA from 1 species